rnacentral:rRNA from 1 species
ACGGAAGGCAGCAGUGGGGAAUAUUGCACAAUGGGGGAAACCCUGAUGCAGCAACGCCGCGUGAGUGAAGAAGUAUUUCGGUAUGUAAAGCUCUAUCAGCAGGGAAGAUAAUGACGGUACCUGACUAAGAAGCUCCGGCUAAAUACGUGCCAGCAGCCGCGGUAAUACGUAUGGAGCAAGCGUUAUCCGGAUUUACUGGGUGUAAAGGGAGCGCAGGCGGUUUUUUAAGUCUGAUGUGAAAGCCCGCGGCUCAACUGCGGGACUGCGUUGGAAACUGGAGAACUAGAGUGUCGGAGGGGCAAGUGGAAUUCCUAGUGUAGCGGUGAAAUGCGUAGAUAUUAGGAGGAACACCAGUGGCAAAGGCGGCUUGCUGGACGAUAACUGACGCUGAGGCUCGAAAGCGUGGGGAGCAAACAGGAUUAGAUACCCUGGUA